AUUGAACGCUGGCGGUAGGCCUAACACAUGCAAGUCGAACGCGAAAGUCCUUCGGGAUGAGUAGAGUGGCGGACGGGUGAGUAACGCGUAGGAAUCUAUCCUGUAGUGGGGGAGUAACGUUUCGAAAGGAACGCUAAUACCGCAUACGCCCUACCGGGGAAAGGACGGGGGAGUCUUCGGACCUCGUGCUAGAGGAGGAGCCUGCGUCGGAUUAGCUAGUUGGUGAGGUAAAGGCUCACCAAGGCGACGAUCCGUAGCUGGUCUGAGAGGAUGAUCAGCCACACCGGAACUGAGACACGGUCCGGACUCCUACGGGAGGCAGCAGUGGGGGAAUAUUGCGCAAUGGGCGAAAAGCCUGACGCAGCCAUACCGCGUGUGUGAAGAAA
rnacentral:rRNA from 1 species